rnacentral:rRNA from 1 species
AACGUAGGAGGCAAGCGUUAUCCGGAUUCACUGGGCGUAAAGCGCGUGCAGGCGGUUCGGUAAGUUGGGCGUGAAAUCUCCUGGCUCAACUGGGAGAGGUCGUCCAAUACUACCGGGCUAGAGAGCAGUAGAGGAAGAUGGAAUUCCCGGUGUAGUGGUGAAAUGCGUAGAUAUCGGGAGGAACACCAGUGGCGAAGGCGGUCUUCUGGACUGUUUCUGACGCUCAGACGCGAAAGCUAGGGGAGCAAACGGG